ACUCCUACGGGAGGCAGCAGUGGGGAAUAUUGGACAAUGGGCGCAAGCCUGAUCCAGCCAUGCCGCGUGAGUGAUGAAGGCCCUAGGGUUGUAAAGCUCUUUCACCGGUGAAGAUAAUGACGGUAACCGGAGAAGAAGCCCCGGCUAACUUCGUGCCAGCAGCCGCGGUAAUACGAAGGGGGCUAGCGUUGUUCGGAUUUACUGGGCGUAAAGCGCACGUAGGCGGACUAUUAAGUCAGGGGUGAAAUCCCGGGGCUCAACCCCGGAACUGCCUUUGAUACUGGUAGUCUUGAGUUCGAGAGAGGUGAGUGGAAUUCCGAGUGUAGAGGUGAAAUUCGUAGAUAUUCGGAGGAACACCAGUGGCGAAGGCGGCUCACUGGCUCGAUACUGACGCUGAGGUGCGAAAGCGUGGGGAGCAAACAGGAUUAGAAACCCUGGUAGUCCCAU
rnacentral:rRNA from 1 species